UGAUUGAGCUGCUGCCUGCCAAGGUGCACAUCACCAGGAAGCUAGGAUUGAGCCUAGAUUGAAGUCCAGGCACUUCCAACAUGUGGUGUUGGCAGCCCAGGUGAAUGGUUUCCAAGUAGUGUAAGACUUCAAGAAAAAUCUUGUGAGGCUCCAAGAAGGUGAAAUGAUUUUUAUUGAACAUCCAGUUGGGCAGCUACCUCUUGGAAUGAACAGCAAGUGCCUUGAACAAAGAGGUGUCUGCUCAAGGAAAUGCCCAGGGCAAAGGAUGUGAUGGAUGUAGGGACUGCUGCAAGACCAGACUGUGACCAUUACAGAGAGUGUGAACAGCUGCAACGAG